UUAUUCUCUUGGUUGGUUAUGAAAACUAUUUUUGUUUAGUUGGUUCUUUGGUUUUUAACUUUCUGAUAGCUUUGUUAGAUUUUUUUUUCUUGAUUGGUUAUGAAAAUUAUUUCUGCUUAGUUCAUUCUUUCGUUUAUAACUUUCUGAUAGCUUUGUUAGAUUUUUAUUUUCUUGUUUGGUUAUGAAAAUUAUUUCUGCUUAGUUGAUUCUUUCGUUUUUAACUUUCUAAUAGCUUUGUUAGAUUUUUAUUUUCUUGAUUGGUUAUGAAAAUUAUUUUUGUUUAGUUGAUUCUUUCGUUUUUAAUUUUCUGAUAGCUUUGUUAGAUUAUUUUUUUCUUAAUUGGUUAUGAAAAUUAUUUCUGCUUAGUUGAUUCUUUCGUUUUUAAUUUUCUGAUGGCUUUGUUAGAUUUUUAUUUUCUUGAUUGAUUAUGAAAAUUAUUUCUGCUUAGUUGAUUCUUUCGUUUUUAACUUUCUGAUAGCUUUGUUAGAUUUUUAUUUUUUUGAUUGGUUAUGGAAAUUAUUUCUGCUUAGUUGAUUCUUUGGUUUUUAACUUUUUGAUAGCUUUGUUAGAUUUUUAUUUUUUUGAUUGGUUAUGAAAAUUAUUUCUGCUUAGUUGAUUCUUUCGUUUUUAACUUUCUGAUAAUUUUGUUAGAAUUUUAUUUUUUUGAUUGGUUAUGAA
rnacentral:lncRNA from 1 species